rnacentral:rRNA from 1 species
AUGGCUGUCGUCAGCUCGUGUCGUGAGAUGUUGGGUUUAAGUCCCGCAACGAGCGCAACCCUAUCUUCAGUUACCAUCAUUCAGUUGGGGGCGUCUGGAGAUACUGCCCCGGUUAACGGGGAGGAAGGUGGGGAUGACGUCAAGUCCUCAUGGCCUUUAUAUCCAGGGCUACACACGUGCUACAAUGGUCCGUACAAAGGGUUGCGAGCCUGCGAGGGUGAGCUAAUCCCGUAAAGCGGAUCUCAGUUCGGAUUGGAGUCUGCAACUCGACUUCAUGAAGUUGGAAUCGCUAGUAAUCGUGGAUCAGCAUGCCACGGUGAAUACGUUCCCGGGCCUU